UUCUAGAAAAACAUUAUAUUUCUAUCAGAAUGUUUUUAAAUUUUUUUCUCUGCUUCACAGGCGAAAGGCUCUAGCCACAGCAUAGUCAUUGAGAGCAAGAGAGAGUCGUCGAGAAACCGUGGCAAAUCCCUAAUUUCUAACUCCGUAACAUUGACUCCUGGUGGAAAGUACGCAUGAACGGGCUGUAAUUCAUAAAUUUGCGAAAGACGAUUUCCAACAGGGUGGGAUAUUGAAAUAACCAUGCCUCAAGAUCCCAAAAGCGUCAAAAUUGACGCAGGAUACAAACGGAGUCCAACAGAUCAUGCGAGCCACGCAAAAAUAACUGCUGGGUCCACCAAUUAUGUGAUUUUGCAGCACAAUGAGCACAGCUGCUGGAAAACCCAAAGGAAACUUCAAACUUUAUAUCUUGUCUGUAAUUAACAGCAACGGAGUUUACUCUUAUGACAAUAACAAAUGCACUGCAUCCCUAAGUGUAGACAUCCCAAAAUGAAUCGUGGUAUUGAAGGCAAAGCUGAAUUAACCCACUCUGGUGGCAAAGCGGCAGGAUUUGCGGAGCUCCAAUAUGAUGCUAAGAAAGACCCUAGUAAGAAAAUUCGGUUAGAGACCAACUAUGACGUCAACAAAGAUAAAGGCUACCAGUUCAACAGCAAAAACCUUCUUUUUGUCAAUGCGGACAAAUACACUGUCAACCUGAACUUCGGAAGGAAUGGAUUGAUAACGGAUGGGCAAAUGUCAUUCGAUUCAGAGCUUAUUUUACCAAGCACCAGGAAAUACACUGCCAAGUACUCUAGCGAUGUGCAUUUGGGUGGUAGUGGAGAUAAAAUUUCAAAGUUGACGCAGGAGUUACUCAUGCAGCAUCGAAAGAUGCGCAACCAUGCAAAGUUCAUUUGA
rnacentral:lncRNA from 1 species